UACGUAGGGUGCAAGCGUUGUCCGGAAUUAUUGGGCGUAAAGAGCUCGUAGGCGGUUUGUCGCGUCUGCUGUGAAAACUCGGGGCUUAACCCCGGGCCUGCAGUGGGUACGGGCAGACUAGAGUGCGGUAGGGGAGACUGGAAUUCCUGGUGUAGCGGUGAAAUGCGCAGAUAUCAGGAGGAACACCGGUGGCGAAGGCGGGUCUCUGGGCCGUAACUGACGCUAAGACUCGAAAGCAUGGGUAGCGAACGGG
rnacentral:rRNA from 1 species